rnacentral:rRNA from 1 species
AUUGAACGCUGGCGGCAUGCCUUACACAUGCAAGUCGAACGGCAGCACGGGAGCAAUCCUGGUGGCGAGUGGCGAACGGGUGAGUAAUAUAUCGGAACGUGCCCAGUCGUGGGGGAUAACGCAGCGAAAGCUGUGCUAAUACCGCAUACGAUCUAUGGAUGAAAGCGGGGGAUCGCAAGACCUCGCGCGAUUGGAGCGGCCGAUAUCAGAUUAGGUAGUUGGUGGGGUAAAGGCCCACCAAGCCGACGAUCUGUAGCUGGUCUGAGAGGACGACCAGCCACACUGGAACUGAGACACGGUCCAGACUCCUACGGGAGGCAGCAGUGGGGAAUUUUGGACAAUGGGCGCAAGCCUGAUCCAGCCAUGCCGCGUGAGUGAAGAAGGCCCUCGGGUUGUAAAGCUCUUUUGUUGGGGAAGAAAAGCAUUCGGCUAAUACCCGGGUGUCCUGACGGUACCCAAAGAAUAAGCACCGGCUAACUUCGUGCC